rnacentral:rRNA from 1 species
GCACUUUAAGCAGUGAAGAAGACUCCGUGGUUAAUACCCACGGACGAUGACAUUAGCUGCAGAAUAAGCACCGGCUAACUCUGUGCCAGCAGCCGCGGUAAUACAGAGGGUGCAAGCGUUAAUCGGAAUUACUGGGCGUAAAGGGAGCGUAGGUGGCUCUAUAAGUCAGAUGUGAAAUCCCCGGGCUCAACCUGGGAACUGCAUCUGAAACUGUAGAGCUAGAGUAUGUGAGGGGGAGGUAGAAUUUCAGGUGUAGCGGUGAAAUGCGUAGAGAUCUGAAGGAAUACCGAUGGCGAAGGCAGCCUCCUGGCAUAAUACUGACACUGAGGCUCGAAAGCGUGGGUAGCAAACAGGAUUAGAUACCCUGGUAGUCCACGCCGUAAACGAUGUCUACUAGUCGUUGG